rnacentral:rRNA from 1 species
AACGUAGGACGCAAGCGUUAUCCGGAGUUACUGGGCGUAAAGCGCGUGUAGGCGGUUGCCAAAGUCGGGUGUGAAAGCCUUGAGCUCAACUCAAGAAAUGCACUCGAUACUUGGUGACUAGAGGACCGGAGAGGAUAGUGGAAUUCCCAGUGUAGUGGUGAAAUACGUAGAGAUUGGGAAGAACACCAGUGGCGAAGGCGGCUAUCUGGACGGUUUCUGACGCUAAGACGCGAAAGCGUGGGGAGCAAACAGG